rnacentral:rRNA from 1 species
UACAGAGGUCUCGAGCGUUAGGCGGAAUCACUGGGCUUAAAGCGUGUGUAGGCGGAUCGUUAAGUACCUUGUGAAAUCCCCAGGCUCAACCUGGGAACUGCACUUGAAACUGGUCGCCUUGAGUGUUGGAGAGGGAAGCGGAAUUCCUGGUGUAGAGGUGAAAUUCGUAGAUAUCAGGAGGAACACCGGUGGCGAAGGCGGCUUCCUGGACAAUUACUGACGCUGAGACGCGAAAGCGUGGGGAGCAAACAGG